rnacentral:rRNA from 1 species
UACAGAGGUCUCAAGCGUUGUUCGGAUUCAUUGGGCGUAAAGGGCGCGUAGGCGGCUUGGCAAGUGGAUGGUGAAAUCCCUCGGCUUAACCGAGGAACUGCCGUCCAAACUGCUUUGCUUGAGACCGGGAGAGGUGAGUGGAAUUCCCAGUGUAGCGGUGAAAUGCGUAGAUAUUGGGAGGAACACCAGUGGCGAAGGCGGCUCACUGGACCGGUACUGACGCUGAUGCGCGAAAGCGUGGGGAGCAAACGGG